CAUCCGUUUCCAAAAAUCAGUUUAAUAUUCUGGACCCUCAAUGAGGGUCGUAUCAGAUAUUAAGCUGAUAAGAACAGAUAC